rnacentral:rRNA from 1 species
GGUUGACCUCGGAUCAGGUAGGAAUACCCGCUGAACUUAAGCAUAUCUAGCGGGGGGAGAGAAAA